rnacentral:rRNA from 1 species
GACGAACGCUGGCGGCGUGCUUAACACAUGCAAGUCGAACGGAAAGGCCCUGCUUUCGUGGGGUGCUCGAGUGGCGAACGGGUGAGUAACACGUGAGUAACCUGCCCUUGACUUUGGGAUAACUUCAGGAAACUGGGGCUAAUACCGGAUAGGAGCUCCUGCUGCAUGGUGGGGGUUGGAAAGUUUCGGCGGUUGGGGUUGGACUCGCGGCUUAUCAGCUUGUUGGUGGGGUAGUGGCUUACCAAGGCUUUGACGGGUAGCCGGCCUGAGAGGGUGACCGGCCACAUUGGGACUGAGAUACGGCCCAGACUCGUACGGGAGGCAACAGUGGGGAAUAUUGCACAGUGGGCGGAAGCCUGAUGCAGCGACGCCGCGUGCGGGAUGACGGCCUUCGGGUUGUGAACCGCUUUCGCCUGUGACGAAGCGUGAGUGACGGUAAUGGGUAAAGAAGCACCGGCUAACUACGUG